rnacentral:rRNA from 1 species
AGAGUUUGAUCCUGGCUCAGGAUGAACGCUGGCGGCGUGCUUAAUACAUGCAAGUCGAGCGAGUGGGGGGAUAUUCCUCCACUAGCGGCGAACGGGUGAGUAACACGUAGGUAAUUUACCCUAAGGACCCGGAUACCUUGAGGAAACUUAAGCUAAUAGGGGAUAGGAUAUAACCAGGCAUCUGGAGAUAUUGAAAGGUUCCUGAAAAGGGAACGCCAAAGGAUAAACCUGCGGCGCAUUAGUUAGUUGGUGAGAUAACUGCCCACCAAGACGAGGAUGCGUAGCCGGCCUGAGAGGGCGGACGGCCACAAUGGAACUGAGAGACGGUCCAUACUCCUACGGGAGGCAGCAGUAAGGAGUUUUCGGCAAUGGGGGGAACCCUGACCGAGCAACGCCGCGUGAACGAAGAAGGCCUUCGGGUUGUAAAGUUCUGUUGUAAGGGAAGAAAGGUUAUACCAGGGAAUGGGUAUAAAGGUGACUGUACCUUACGAGGAAGCCACGGCUAACUACGUGCCAGCAGCCGCGGUAAUACGUAGGUGGCAAGCGUUAUCCGGAAUUAUUGGGCGUAAAGAGUGAGCAGGCGGUCGAUUAAGUCUGAAGUCAAAAGCAAUAGCUCAACUAUUGUCCGCUUUGGAAACUGGUCGACUAGAGUACGGGAGAGGUAAAUGGAACUUCAUGUGUAGCGGUAAAAUGCGUAGAUAUAUGAAAGAACACCAGUGGCGAAAGCGAUUUACUAGACCGAUACUGACGCUCAGUCACGAAAGCGUGGGGAGCAAAUAGGAUUAGAGACCCUAGUAGUC